rnacentral:rRNA from 1 species
CCUACGGGAGGCAGCAGUGGGGAAUAUUGGACAAUGGGGGGAACCCUGAUCCAGCCAUGCCGCGUGUGUGAAGAAGGCCCUCGGGUUGUAAAGCACUUUCAGUGAGGAAGAACGCCUGGUGGUUAAUACCCAUCAGGAAAGACAUCACUCACAGAAGAAGCACCGGCUAACUCCGUGCCAGCAGCCGCGGUAAUACGGAGGGUGCGAGCGUUAAUCGGAAUUACUGGGCGUAAAGCGCGCGUAGGUGGCUUGAUAAGCCGGUUGUGAAAGCCCCGGGCUCAACCUGGGAACGGCAUCCGGAACUGUCAAGCUAGAGUGCAGGAGAGGAAGGUAGAAUUCCCGGUGUAGCGGUGAAGUGCGUAGAGAUCGGGAGGAAUACCAGUGGCGAAGGCGGCCUUCUGGACUGACACUGACACUGAGGUGCGAAAGCGUGGGUAGCAAACAGGAUUAGAUACCCGGGUAGUC